UACGAAGGGGGCUAGCGUUGCUCGGAAUCACUGGGCGUAAAGCGCACGUAGGCGGAUUGUUAAGUCGGGGGUGAAAUCCUGGAGCUCAACUCCAGAACUGCCUUCGAUACUGGCGAUCUUGAGUCCGGGAGAGGUGAGUGGAACUCCGAGUGUAGAGGUGAAAUUCGCAGAUAUCAGGAAGAACACCAAUGGCGAAGGCAGCUCUCUGGGACGGUACUGACGCUGAGACGCGAAAGCGUGGGGAGCGAACAGG
rnacentral:rRNA from 1 species